rnacentral:misc_RNA from 1 species
AGAAUAAGAAGGGUAUGAGAGGAUCAGCAAAUGCUAAAUAUUGAUCACGUAUCUAGAUGUCAUAGAUAUGUGUUCUUUAUUACACAUGGGAACACUCUUAAAAAGACCUCUCAAAGUGGUUUUCUAAAAUGCUCUCCUCUUUUACCUUGUUUUUAGAGAUAGAAAACACCCAACUGAAUGAGCUAGGAAAAUAUUGGUGCAUUCCAUUAGUAAAGAAGUUUAUAAAGGGAACGCAUCUGGACCAACCAAGGUAAAGAGUUCUAUUUAGAAAUCUUUACUUUGGCUAACUUCCUUACAAAUCGAGUGCACCAAUAUUUUACUUGCCCACUCAGGUGGAUCUUUUUCCAUCUCUAAAGACAAGUAUAACGUUUUAGAAAAUGAUUUUGAGAGGUCUCUUUAAGAGUGUCCCGUAUGUAAAAAGAACACAAAAUAUAUACCCCACUUGACCUAUUU